AAUCAGGGCUUGGUUUGUAGUGUUUUACAGCCCUAGUCGAAGAAUUACUAAUCAAUUCUUGACCUAAGUUGCAAUAUAUUAUUUGCUAAAAGCAACUAAUAGAUAACAUAUGAAAUUGGUUCUAUUAGACCUACCCCAAAAAGGAAAAAAAAAGCAAGCAAGAAGAAGAAGAUUAGUAAUGCAGUAUAGAUUGAUUGAUGUAUGAUCAAUUAUUCACCCUGUAUAAGCACAAGCUUCUUAAGAACCCACCAGGAUACUUUAAUGCAGUAUAGAUUGAUGUAGUUCAUAUUGUUUUACACAUCCAUAUUUCUUUUUGAAGGUCUUUUCUCAUGCAUGUUUUCAAUAUUUGGUUUUUAGGCUGUUCUGGCUUAGUCUUUGGUCUGAAAAUUGGGAGGCUCCUGUAACUAUUUAUUUAUUUUCUUUAUCUAUGCAUCUUGUCUUUUUGUUUCAUAGUUACAUUACCACCCAGAAUCUGCAGAACGCCUUCUUUCAAAGUAGUUCAAGGGUAAUAUCUUUGAUUCCCAGAAGUUCCAGAAACUCCCCCUUUAGUAUUUCCAACUACUUAUAUGCUAUCAAAUCUAAUAUUUUCAGGCCUUCUUCCAUCCAAGCACUCAAAUUUUCUCUGCCCUUUGAUUUGGAGGAAAACCUAGAAAGAUGAGAUGAGAGAGUUCAGCCAUUUCAUAUCAAUAUUGGGGUUGGGAAGAGGGGAGGUAGAGGGGUGAGGGCAUAACAAUUGAUUGAAGCAGUCAUUUGCUAUUUUCUAUGGAUUCUUUGCAAAAUUUUGUUAGUGGUUCUGGUUCCUACAGGACUGGCCAUAUUUAGCUGUAUGCCAACAACAUUAUCAAGUGGAGUGGCGUUGACUCGGCUUGCUAGGGGGAAUUUUGCUCUUGCACUUGCAAUGACUGUAAUAUCUAAUCUGCUGGGAAUCUUGAUUGGGAUCUUGAUGACUGUCCAAGUUCAUGCCACUCCUACAUUUCAAUUAGCUCUCUUAGUAGAUAGUGUUGCUUGAAGGGCAACGGAGAAUCAAUGAGGAACUGAAUGCAAGAGUAGCGUGGAGGUCAAUGCCAAGAUUGAUUUGAUGCUACAACAGAUUAGUCAGGGAGGUUUUACUCCUGAUUUAUCAUCAUAGUAAGUACCUUAUGCAUAUAUAACCAAUUCAUAAAUUAAGUUCCUUUCCCCCGCUACUCUCUCAAUAACCUUAAUCUUCAUUGUCAAUUGAAAAUAAAUAUACAUACUCUAUUUAGAGUGAUUUGGUGAGAAAUGAAGAGGGGGGUGUUUGGUUUAUAAUUUUAGAUUUGUUGAUUCUAUAUAUAUUUGGUUUUAUGACUUUAAAAUAUCCAGCCAUAUAUUGAAGAUUUUCAUUUUGGAUUUAUUGAUUCUAUGUAUAUGUCAUAUUUAUAUAUGGUAAUACAAACAUUUUAUACUAGUAACAAUCAAAGUCGUUAUCCCUUUUCUAUUGAUGCAGGGGAUGAAGAGUCAGUGUGAUAUUCUGAUUUUGUCUUUUGUAAGACAAAAACAGUCUCUACAAAAAUAGUAAGUUUAUUCAUAUGCUUCUAGCGGUUUCUGAAUUAAUUUGUGUUUUUAUUUUUCAGGUCAAAAAUUUCCUGGAGAGAUGCAAAUAAUGGUCAAAGAAUUCAAGAACUUAGUUUUUUGAAUUUUUUUUUUCAUUUUUUAAUAUAUGUAAUCACAGUUAAAAACUUUUUAUUAAUUCCUUCGUAUGUACUUUUGAACAUUUAACUUUCAU